rnacentral:ncRNA from 2 species
GGGCACCAUGCAGGAGAGAGUGGCCGCAAUCAGGCCGCCGCCGAAGGCGCAAGCGCACCCGCAAUCGCUCAGGCUAAAGGACUGUAUGGUAUCC